rnacentral:rRNA from 1 species
GAUGAACGCUAGCGGCAGGCUUAACACAUGCAAGUCGAGGGGCAGCAUAAGUACUUGUACUUGAUGGCGACCGGCGGACGGGUGAGUAACGCGUAUGGAGUCUACCUUUUACAGGGGGAUAGCCCAGAGAAAUUUGGAUUAAUACCUCAUAGUAUAUAUUUACGGCAUCGUAAAUAUAUUAAAGAUUUAUCGGUAAAAGAUGGCCAUGCGUUCUAUUAGCUAGAUGGUAAGGUAACGGCUUACCAUGGCUACGAUAGAUAGGGGCCCUGAGAGGGGGAUCCCCCACACUGGUACUGAGACACGGACCAGACUCCUACGGGAGGCAGCAGUGAGGAAUAUUGGACAAUGGGCGAGAGCCUGAUCCAGCCAUGCCGCGUGCAGGAAGACUGCCCUAUGGGUUGUAAACUGCUUUUAUACAGGAAGAAACCUCCCGACGUGUCGGGACUUGACGGUACUGUAAGAAUAAGGAUCGGCUAACUCCGUGCCAGCAGCCGCGGUAAUACGGAGGAUCCAAGCGUUAUCCGGAAUCAUUGGGUUUAAAGGGUCCGUAGGUGGAUAAUUAAGUCAGGGGUGAAAGCUUAUAGCUCAACUAUAAAAUUGCCUUUGAUACUGGUUAUCUUGAAUCAUUAUGAAGUAGUUAGAAUAUGUGGUGUAGCGGUGAAAUGCAUAGAUAUCACAUAGAAUACCAAUUGCGAAGGCAGAUUACUAAUAAUGUAUUGACACUGAUGGACGAAAGCGUGGGGAGCGAACAGG